AGUCAUGAUGGCUAUUCCCUAAAAUAGUGAUUGUGAUUAGCGAGGCGCUCGUGUUGCAGCACGGGCGUCUUGCGAA
rnacentral:antisense_RNA from 1 species